CUGCUGCCUCCCGUAGGAGUUUGGACCGUGUCUCAGUUCCAAUGUGGGGGACCUUCCUCUCAGAACCCCUAUCCAUCGAUGCCUUGGUGGGCCGUUACCCCGCCAACAAGCUAAUGGAACGCAUCCCCAUCGAUGACCGAAAUUCUUUAAUAGUUCUACCAUGCGGAAGAACUAUGCCAUCGGGUAUUAAUCUUUCUUUCGAAAGGCUAUCCCCGAGUCGUCGGCAGGUUGGAUACGUGUUACUCACCCGUGCGCCGGUCGCCAUCAAA
rnacentral:rRNA from 1 species